AUGUCUACUCAUCAGUUCAUUAUCUCGUAUCUAAAUGAUCUCAAUGAUGUUGAAACAUCGGGAAGGACGGCAACUGCCCAACCUACUCCUAGGCCAACACAGUGGCUCCGCCCUUCGGCGAGUCUAGCAAAAAUUAAUGUUGAUGCGGCGAAAAGAGGUAAUCAGGGAAGGGGUGUUGUAGCUGCAGUAUGCCGGGAUCAGAACGGUGUCUUCUUGGGGGCCUCAACGAUCGGUUUCAAUGGAAUCGGUGAUCCCACGACACUGGAGGCAAUGGCAGUUCGAGAGGCUCUGGCUCUAGCUCAAGAUCUGCAUGAACAAAAGAUACAUGUAGCUUCUGAUUGCAAGGUGGUUGUGGACGACAUCAAGUAACGGUGUUUGGCAAGCUAUGAUGCGAUAAUACAUGAAAUAAUAGAGUCUAGUAGGUCUUUUACUAUUAGUAACUUUGUCCAUGAGUUUAGGAGCUCGAAUUUCGAGGCUCACAAUCUCGCAAAGCAUGCUCUGAAGUUAGGGGUGGGCCGCCAUGUUUGGUUAGGGCACCCCGGAAACCUUUCUUUCGUUCCUGUAAACGUUGUGACGUCUUAA
rnacentral:rRNA from 1 species